AUUUUGCGCAGCUGCGUAAGGGAUAGCAGCGGUUAUCCUUUUGUUUUUUUUAUGACCUAGGCACUACGGCCAGAGAAAUGUUGAUGAAAAAACAAAAGAUAGUAGCGGAUAGCCCGACCCGCU
rfam:Chryseobacterium bovis DSM 19482 genome assembly, contig: LX71DRAFT_scaffold00002.2